GAUCAUGGCUCAGGAUGAACGCUAGCGGCAGGCUUAACACAUGCAAGUCGAGGGGCAGCGGGAUGUAGCAAUACAUUGCCGGCGACCGGCGGAUGGGUGCGUAACGCGUAUGCAACCUACCUUAUACAGGGGAAUAACCUUUCGAAAGGGAGACUAACACCCCAUGGUAUUGAUUUAAGGCAUCUUAGAUUAAUUAAAUAUUUAUAGGUAUAAGAUGGGCAUGCGUAUGAUUAGCUAGUUGGUAAGGUAACGGCUUACCAAGGCGACGAUCAUUAGGGGUUCUGAGAGGAAGGUCCCCCACACUGGUACUGAGACACGGACCAGACUCCUACGGGAGGCAGCAGUGAGGAAUAUUGGUCAAUGGGCGCAAGCCUGAACCAGCCAUGCCGCGUGCAGGAAAGACGGCCUUAUGGGUUGUAAACUGCUUUUACAUAAGACUAACCGUAUAUUUGCGAAUAUACCUGAAUGUAUUAUGAGAAUAAGGAUCGGCUAACUCCGUGCCAGCCGCAGC
rnacentral:rRNA from 1 species